GAUGAACGCUGGCGGCGUGCUUAACACAUGCAAGUCGAACGGGGCUCUUCGGAGUCAAGUGGCGGACGGGUGAGUAACGCGUGAGAAUCUGCCCUAAGGUGGGGGACAACCAUUGGAAACGAUGGCUAAUACCCCAUAUGCCGAGAGGUGAAAGGUUAACUGCCUUAGGAUGAGCUCGCGUCUGAUUAGCUAGUUGGUGAAGUAAUGGUUUACCAAGGCGACGAUCAGUAGCUGUUCUGAGAGGAUGAUCAGCCACACUGGGACUGAGACACGGCCCAGACUCCUACGGGAGGCAGCAGUGGGGAAUUUUCCGCAAUGGGCGAAAGCCUGACGGAGCAACGCCGCGUGAGGGAGGAAUGUCUUUGGAUUGUAAACCUCUUUUCUCUAGGAAGAUAAUGACGGUACUAGAGGAAUCAGCAUCGGCUAACUCCG
rnacentral:rRNA from 1 species